GCAGUGAGUGACGCAGCCCGGGGGCGGAACAUAAUCAUUUUGAGUACGUAGACAGAUUGUAGAUCUUCCAGUCCGUCAGCGCUGCAGAUUCAUCACAGAGUCAGAGAAGAGGGAAGAGUUCCAAAUAAAGCUUAUUUCAUUUGAACCAAAGAAAGAAAAGAAGAAAAAAUGGUGGCCAAACAGCGGAUCCGCAUGGCGAACGAGAAACACAGCAAGAACAUCACACAGCGAGGAAACGUGGCCAAGUCAACAGUGAGUUUAACAACGACUCUGUUCCUUUUUCUUAUUGGGAAAAACUGAUGAAUAAAUACCGAAAAUACAGCAGCAUAGACGCGCUCUGGACCGGAGCUAAGAGCCCGGCUUCUAUCAGGACCUCUGUUCGGGUCUAGACCCAAGAAGAAAGCAGGUCCAGACCCAGAGAGGGUCCGCUGAGUUACCGUCUGCUGCAUUUUAACCCCAGAUUAGAACCACUAUAAAGUAUGAUUAACACGGAUUUCAGAUAAAAUAAUCAAUGAUAAAUCAGAGCCGUAAUUCUAAGUAAUUUUUUUUGUUCAAAUGGUGACAAAAACAGCUUUGAGAGAGUCAGGACCAGGAAUUAUACCGUACGCACUCACUAACGUUAAACUACAGAGACUUCAGAGAGAUGCAUUCAAAUGAACUGGGUGGAAAAAUAUUAAUUAAAAAGGGUUCACAGAGACUUUAUGAACUCAUUUUGUUAAAAAAAAUAAAAGUUUCCUAGAGCAUUCUCAAUUAAUCAAAAGAUAAAGUAAAAACACCUUCACCACCUUUAAAGGGACAUUCCGGCGUUAAAUUAAGGUAGGGUCAAACACACCGUAACACCGAGUUAGAUACCCCGUCGAGAGAUGAAUGUUGCCGACCGCUUUCGUCUCUAGUUAUGCCAACUUUAGUAAUGACUGCAGCAAUAGCAAUACACAGUGGUCUACCUCAACCAAAAAGCCAACCUAUAGCCACAAAUAAUGCUCAGAACAGAACCUAAUUUCAUCAACAGCGCAUAUGGGCUCCCAACCAUAGCACUAGCCACCAAACAUCUUUUUAGCUUUGCCUAAUUUCUUAAGCAAAGAGACUUGACACAACUCACCCUCUCUCCUUCAGCAGCUGCUUGUUUGUGGGGGAGCCCUGACAAGUCGAUCACCGAGUGCAAUUGAGUUUUGCAGCUCAAGGAAAAACAUUUAUGAUAAUUUCCCUAUGGAAAUGCAAUCAGACCGAGACGCUUAGGCAGAAGAACUACCGUGCCUGCAGUGCAAAAUGAUUAAUAUGAUGAUUAUUACUUCAAGGAAAUCAUCCGCUGCACUCAGUGAUCAACUCGGCAGGGCUCUCCCCACAAACAAGCGGCUACUGGAGGAGAGAGGGGAAGUUGUCUUUAGUCUCUUUGCUAAAGAAAUCAGACAAAGCUAAAAAGAUGUUGGGUGGCUAGUGCUAUGGCUGGGAGCCUAUACGCACUGUUGAUGUUGUUGAUGCACUGUUGAUGUGUUGUUCUGAGCAUUAUUUGUGGCUAUUGAGUGGCUUUGUGGUUGAGGUUUGCACAUGGAGGCAAAGACUGCUGUGUAUUGCUAUCCUGCGGUCAUUACUAAAGUUGGUAUAACUAGAGAAGCAAGCAGUGGCCAACAUUCAUCUUCGAGGGGGUGUCUAACUCGGUGUUACUGUGACCUUGACCCUAACUUAAAUUUACGCUGGAAUAUCCUCCUUAGUUAGAAAAUUAAACUUUCUAAAGCCAUCCUCAAUUAAUCAAAAGAAAACAAUAAAAACAUUUUCUCCUCCUUUGGUUAAAAAAUAAACUUUGUUAAGACAUCCUCAUUGAUAUAACAAAGUUAAAAUAAAAACACAUUCACCUGCUUAAGUACAAAAAUUAAACUUUUUGAAAAGGCAUCCUCAGUUAUUCAAAAGAUUUAAAUAAAACAUUUUCACCUCCUUUAGUUCAAAAAUAAAACUAUGUAAGGACACUCUUUUUUAAAUAAAAGGAUUUAAAUAAUAAUAAUAAUAAAAACUCACCUCCUUUACGUUAGAAAUUUAAACUCAAAGAUGGAAAGAGCUGACCCAAGCAGAGACUAGCUGAUAUUAAAUUUAUUCAUUAACUUACCCAGAGAUAAACAGCUCAGGUAAAUCUGACAGAUUUUUAGUGAAGACAGACACACACAUGCACAGACAAAGAGUGAUAUAGAGACACACAGACACAUUCUGUUUAUCAGACUAAGAGUUUUAUUAUAAACACAUUUAUUGAAUCUAUCUCUCUCUCUCACUCUGUGUGUGUGUGUGUGCGUGUGUUUCAGAGGAACCUAGGGGACGACAAAGGUGUGGGUCCGUGGCUGCUCGCUCUCUUUGUUUUUGUCGUCUGUGGAUCAGGUGAGUUACUCUUCUUCCAACAAACACACUGUAGUCAAUUUUUUUGUUUGUUUGUUAAAGUCACAGAUAAACUUUUUCUCAGAGUGUCCCUUUCAUUGCUGUGUCCCUGACAGAGAUACAGUCUGAAAAACAAACAAUCAAACAAAUCACACCCCUCCGAAAUGAGUUAAGAAAUCCUAAGGUUGGUUUAACUGUUUAAAAAGCUUUCAGAGCAGUUUUUCAAAAUCAAAGAGACUAAGCCGAUUAUCGUUGUCUAUAAAGUUACAGAGAAACUUUAUCAGACCAGAACGAACAAACAGCUAAUGAGAGCCUCUGCAAGGAGCAACUGAGAUUAUUACAUCACCUGAGGGACUAAAACCCAGCCCAGAGACGGAAGUGUGGGGCUAAGUGCCCAAUCACAUGAAGGGGUGGGGCUAAGUGUCCAAACAGACAAAUGGACAGGGCCCAGUGUCUGGUCUAGAUGUCAGUGUGUGCUCCUGUGUCACUGUGACUGCAGACAGAAAGUCAACAAGUCAAACACCUUAGGCAUCCUCUGUGUGUGGGCGGGAUUUAUCUGAGCAUGCCCAGGGGUGUCAAAGAUCAGUCAGUGUACUGAGGUCUCACUCAGAGAGAAAUCUGACAGAGCAUCAAACAGACCUGAGAUCAGCUAAGACACUAACACACAGUUAAAAGGGAGAGUCUGUAAAAUCUUUCUCUUCACUCUGAGUUUCAGUGAGUCUGUGUGAUCGAUCUGUGUUAAACUGCAUCAUCAGAAUAAAAAGCAUUUCUUACUGUUUACAAAUAAACCUCCAUUGUCAUGUAAACAAUUCUAGUCAUAACUCUGUGUGUGUGUUUGUGUGUGUGUGUCUGCAGCCAUCUUCCAGAUCAUCCAGAGCAUCAGGAUGGGCAUGUAAAAUGAUGUCACUAGCAAAGGGCGGGGCUACAAAAGCAGCAGCUCCAGUGGUGGUGAGGAUGGCCUCGCCCACUCCACCUUUGAACUGAAGUAAUCCCAAACAUUCCUGAGCUGAGGCAGCUGUCUGUCUGCACACAAAACAUGACCCCCCCCCCCCCCACACACACACACACACACACACACACACACAAUGUUCCACAAAGUUAUCAUGUCGAUUCACGUGUCCUGCUCGCCAACCUUCUCAGUGUCUUUUUGUAAACAUCCACAGUGUGCCUUUCUCUGUUUACCUGUGCUUAAGCCAUGCCCCCACUGAUUACACUUUAUCAGAAAAGGGGUCAGAGUCCAGCUCCUGUAACUGAACCUGUGUCAACACCUCCUCUUCCUCAGUGUGAUGAUGAUAACAGUGAUGAUGAUGAAGAUGACGAUGAUGAUGAUGAAGGUCUUUUGAAUCAGAAGGUCAGGAGGUGCUGGCAGGUGUGUGUGUGUGAGUGCACUGUGUGCAGCUUCACCUGGACAGGGUUAAUAAAGUCUCAUUUUGAAGAUGGCUGCUGUGUCUUUGUGUGUACGUGCGCAUGUGCAUUCUCUGCAGCUCAUGAUAUUUUAGGAGAAACAGUUGAACUGUCAGUUAAGAAUGUUUGGAAACACAGUGAUUGGCCAGCAGAGCUAAACAAGUUCUAUCAGGUGACCUGUGAGACUUAAGUACAAGUCUUUAAAGCUGGUAGUUAUCUGUGGGAAGUGCUAAUUAAAUCAAAUUUAUGUCUCUUGUUUGAGUCUGUAAAGGUCUCAAUGAGUCUGAGAUUAGACUGAAUGAGUGAAUGAACAAGAGGAAGUCUCUGCUGAAGCUUCUGUUUGCUGCAAAGACAAAAAUCAAACUGAUGAGUUCUUUGUUCAGGGCUGCUGCAGUGACUAUGUGUCCACUGGAUGGAGCUGUUUGAGCAGAAACACCAGACGGUGUUGUCAUUAAAUAAAGGUAAAGGAGAGCUUACCAAAUCUCUCCUAUUGUCAACAA
rnacentral:lncRNA from 1 species